rnacentral:rRNA from 1 species
UACGUAGGGUGCAAGCGUUAAUCGGAAUUACUGGGCGUAAAGCGUGCGCAGGCGGUUUUGUAAGUCUGUCGUGAAAUCCCCCGGGCUCAACCUGGGAAUUGCGAUGGAGACUGCAAGGCUGAGAAUCUGGCAGAGGGGGGUAGAAUUCCACGUGUAGCAGUGAAAUGCGUAGAGAUGUGGAGGAACACCGAUGGCGAAGGCAGCCCCCUGGGUCAAGAUUGACGCUCAUGCACGAAAGCGUGGGGAGCAAACAGG